rnacentral:rRNA from 1 species
UACAGAGGAUGCAAGCGUUAUCCGGAAUGAUUGGGCGUAAAGCGUCUGUAGGUGGCUUUUUAAGUCCGCCGUCAAAUCCCAGGGCUCAACCCUGGACAGGCGGUGGAAACUAUCAAGCUGGAGUGCGGGAGAGGGGCGUGGAAUUCCGGGUGUAGUGGUGAAAUGCGUAGAGAUCCGGAGGAACCCCAGAGGCGAAGGCGGCGCCCUGGCCCGACACUGACGCUCAGACACGACAGCAUGGGGAGCGAACGGG